GCAAUGAUGACUCUGUGGUUUUGAUCAGAAAUGAAAACACACAACCAAGUCCUCUAAGAAGUUCUGAGCUC
ensembl:snoRNA small nucleolar RNA SNORD61